AUUGAACGCUGGCGGCAGGCCUAACACAUGCAAGUCGAACGAGUGGCGGACGGGUUAGUAAUGUCUGGGAAACUGCCCGAUGGAGGGGGAUAACUACUGGACACGGUAGCUAAUACCGCAUACCAUCGGAUGUGCCCAGAUGGGAUUAGCUAGUGGGUGGGGUAACGGCUCACCUAGGCGACGAUCCCUCGCUGGUAUGAGAGGAUGACCAGCCACACUGGAACGGAGACACGGUCCAGACUCCUACGGGAGGCAGAAGUGGGGAAUAUUGCACAAUGGGCGAAAGCCUGAGGCAGCCAUGCCGCGUGUAUGAAGAAGGCCUUCGGGUUGUAAAGGACUUUCAGCGGGGAGGCGUUACCAGCAGAAGAAGCACCGGCUAACUCCGUGCCAGCAGCCGCGGUAAUUC
rnacentral:rRNA from 1 species